CAUACUGGGGUGAACCAACUAACAUGCACAUGAAUUGAGUUUAUUAUCAUUAUGGCAAAAAUAUAAGCUCAAAUGGAGUUAGGCAACUUGCAAGCAUUUAAAAUGCCUGUUCCCAAGAGAGAUUGCAGCUUUAUAUAAGAUAUUUAAGCACAGAAUGGCCAAGGUUGGAAGGUACCUCUGAAGAUCAUCUAGUCCAACACCCUUGCCAAGCAGGAUCACCUAGAGCAUGUUGCACAGGAUCACACCUAGGUGGAUUUUGAAUAUCUCCAGAGAAGGUGAUUCCACAGCCCCUCUGGGCAACCUGUUCCAGUGCUCUGUCACCCUCACAGUAAAGAAGUGCUCCCUCAUAUUGAGCAGAACCUCCUGUGCUUCAGUUUGUGCCCAUUAUCUCUCAGUCUGUCACUGGGCACAACUGAAAAGAGACUGGCUCCAUCCUCUUGACACCAUCCCCUCAGUUAUUUGUACACAUUAAUGAGGUCUCCCCUCAGUCUUCUCUUUUCCAGGCUAAAUAGUCCCAGUUCUUUCAGCCUGUCCCUGUACAACAGGUGCUCCACCUGUAUUUUGAAUGCAUACUGAUCUUCAUUUUUUAUGUCAGCAAAAGCAACAGUGCACCUUAUCCAGUAUAUUGUUAAAGUCAUCUUCUGAGCUAUGCUUUACAGUUAUAAACAAGUCUGUUGGUAUUUUGUGCUUCAUUAAGAGUUAUUGAAUAAUACUAAUUCAGACAAUUAUAAAUAAAUUAAAACAAAACAAAACAAAACAAAAACAAAAGCAUAGAAAUACAUACUUUGCCACACAAUUUUUCUGUUUUGUUACUGACAGAUGAACCCAUCUGCUUCUUUCUUGAGACUUUAGGAUCUGUAGGGUGUACUCCAACAUGUUUUUAAGUCUGAAUAACCUGACUUGGUCAGUAUUUCUGAACAGGGACAAAGAAGUCCCUAAUAACUUUGUUUUUAUGAUUAACAUUCAUCCUCGGUGUACUCAUUUGAUACCAAGACAUUUAUAACAGGGACAAUAAACAGGUCUUGGCAUUUCCAAGUUCAUUUCCUUGACCUAAUAUAGAGACAUAAUCAUAAUCUUAGGUCUUCUUGCAAGAAAGCUUCCCUAUUCCCAUUAGCGCUGAAGCAAAUAUUAGCAAAGAUUAGGAUUGCUUUCACACUGGAGAAAAUUUUGCUUUAAUACAGUAUGUUUGGCAGCUCUUCUGUCCUCUCAAUGAGGGCAGAUGUAAUACGAAGUACUAUAUCAUGCCUAUGAAAAAGAGCUAUAACAAUUACAGCAGUGUCAGUACUUUUAAAAUAGUUCAGGUUUCUUCCUUUUCAGGUUUUCUUAUUCUUCCAGUUGGUAUGUGAGUGACUGUCUUCUCCUGCAUUGCAAUGCUCCUGAAUAUAUACAAAUUGUACAGGAUUUUAUUGCUAUCAGGGGGAAGAGCUUGGCUGUGCUAUGGAUAAGCUUAUUAUUGAAGACCAUCAGUUCCCACAUCCAGAAAUGCCUUCUGUAGCUGUGUAAAGCUGUCUGGCAUCCCCAGGACCUGUGUAUACAUGGUGACAGAUCAUCAUAAUUGAGUCUCUCUGCUCUAUUGGUUUAAUUACCAGGAAGAGUUUGCUUAUAAAAUGAGUAGUCAGGUUUUAUACCUUAUUAACUUUGUUACGUUACAGUGCCAGUGUUGCGCAACUCCAGUUAAUGUGUUGUCUAUCCUUUGUGACCUCUCUGACUUUCUUCCACUCCUCCUUCCAGAAUUUAUUCACUUUAUCAUCACUGCAGACAGAAGGUUACAAAGGAUGUAUCAUGGCUGGGCAAAGAUGACAGCAAAGAGCUCUGUACAGUCUAGGAAUACGACAUGAGAACUGUUCGACCAGCUGAGACAGCAAAUAAAGCAAAUUCUGAAUAUUUCCAGAGGCUCAGAGAUGCACAGAAAGGAGCUGAGUAAUCUUAGUGAGUUACUGAACCACAGGAUGAUGCCAUUAAAAGUUAUUUAUUUCUGCACGUGAAUACAUUCAUACAGGGUAAAAAAAAAAAAAAAAAAAAAAAAAAACAAACAAAAAAAAAACAUAAUACAGAGAUCUUUAAAAAGCAUAAUACAGAGAUCUUCGACUCCGUGGAAACCUGUAAAAGCCCAUAGGAUACUGAACAGUGUUAUAUGGUCUUGCCCAGCAGGACCUACAAGGAGCCUAUCUAUAUUUGCUGUGAAUGGUGUCCUAACUAAUAAAUCCUCUCUGUUGGCAGGGAUGCAAUACCACACACAAACACAGCAAAGAAUAUCUUUGUUCUGCUUUUCAUUUCCCCACCUUUGUGGUUCAGAUCAGUAUGAAGAAUUAACUGCUCCUUGUAUAAAUCCAAAAAUGCUGUACGUGGCAGAGCAUAAAAGGCUUCGGUGUUUAGCACAGCACCACUUCACAAGCACUUUUAUUCCUGCCCAAUCUGUGGACAAAGGUUAAUGGUUUAAAAACUACUCCCAUUUCACUUGGCCAUACUUGUACUAAGAGAUUAUGAAAAUAGCAUUCUUGAUGUGAAACUGAGCUGCAUCUGCUCCAUCCAGAUCCUUGCAAUGCUUUGUGCUUUCUCAGACCCUCAUGUUGCUUUCCUCUAUUAAUGGUCAUGCUUAGGUAUCCUGUUAUAAACAGAAAACACAGCUCAAUAAACAUGGAUUUUAACGUUA